rnacentral:rRNA from 1 species
AGAGUUUGAUCCUGGCUCAGGACGAACGCUGGCGGCGUGCUUAACACAUGCAAGUCGAGCGGUAAGGCUCCUUCGGGAGUACACGAGCGGCGAACGGGUGAGUAACACGUGAGCAAUCUGCCCUUCACUUCGGGACAACUCCGGGAAACCGGUGCUAAUACCGAAUACGACCACCGAGGACAUCCUCUGGUGGUGGAAAGUUCCGGCGGUGAAGGAUGAGCUCGCGGCCUAUCAGCUUGUUGGUGGGGUAACGGCCCACCAAGGCGACGACGGGUAGCCGGCCUGAGAGGGUGACCGGCCACACUGGGACUGAGACACGGCCCAGACUCCUACGGGAGGCAGCAGUGGGGAAUAUUGGACAAUGGGCGAAAGCCUGAUCCAGCAACGCCGCGUGAGGGAUGACGGCCUUCGGGUUGUAAACCUCUUUCAGCGGGGACGAAGCGAAAGUGACGGUACCCGCAGAAGAAGCACCGGCCAACUACGUGCCAGCAGCCGCGGUAAUACGUAGGGUGCGAGCGUUGUCCGGAAUUAUUGGGCGUAAAGGGCUCGUAGGCGGUCCGUCACGUCGGGAGUGAAAACUCAGGGCUUAACCCUGAGCCUGCUUCCGAUACGGGCGGACUAGAGGUAUGCAGGGGAGAAUGGAAUUCCUGGUGUAGCGGUGAAAUGCGCAGAUAUCAGGAGGAACACCGGUGGCGAAGGCGGGUCUCUGGGCAGUAACUGACGCUGAGGAGCGAAAGCGUGGGGAGCGAACAGGAUUAGAUACCCCCGUAGUCC